UACGAGGGGGGCAAGCGUUGUUCGGAAUUAUUGGGCGUAAAGGGCGCGUAGGCGGUGCGGUAAGUCUGAUGUGAAAUCUCCGGGCUCAACUCGGAGUCUGCAUCAGAAACUGCCGUGCUCGAGUGUGGGAGAGGUGAGUGGAAUUCCCGGUGUAGCGGUGAAAUGCGUAGAUAUGUGGAGGAACACCAGUGGCAAAGGCGACUCUCUGGUCUGUAACUGACGCUGAGGCGCGAAAGCGUGGGGAGCAAACAGG
rnacentral:rRNA from 1 species